UGCUUCAUGUGCUUCACACGGAUUUGGAUCCAAAAUUGACACGUACCAAUUCACUCUCAUUCACCCUCAUUCGCUCUAUAAAGAGAGCCUCAUUCUCACACUUUAGGAGGAAGCUCUUAAGCCAUCGAAUUUCUACAAAAAUUGCCCCUCAAAGUAACUCAAAAUAGAGCAUCUGAAUUCACUCACUCAUGUGUUAUCCUCUACUAUUUAUGAUCCAGAUAACAUCCAUACAUUUCCUUAAGACUAAGAGGUGAAAGAGCUAAAGUUAAAGUGAGCUUACCGGAGAAUUUGAAGCUUCGUCGGAAUCUGCGUUUGGAUCUAACUCCUUCCAUUUGGAUAACUUCUGUUUUGGUUUAAAAUGAGUCGUCGUGUAACCAUGAGAUGCUCAGAUUUGGAUUGAGGUUCAAGGAGAAAGAUGACUCCAUCAGGACUGAGAGAACCCGAUAUCCCUCCAUUUUUUCAUUUAAAUUUAAAUUAGCUUAUCCACUUAUCUUGCCCUGGUUGGAUGCUUGAAGUGACUUGGAAGAUUGGGCAGGGUGUGGUACAAUUGACUAUGGUGCAUGUAGAUCUUCAGAGCGCAUACCUAGUCAAGUCACCCAAUCUAAUGGAUGAAAUGAGUCUCAACUACAGCGUGUUUAGGCCAUUGGAUAAAAUCUAAUGGAUCUGAUCAUAUGAGGUUCUUUCUUUGUUUUUCCACUCAGAUUGGCAUGGUGUGGGCUAGGUGCCCUAGUGGGCUGGGACUGGUGCUAUUUGGACCUCCAAAUCCAAAUACACCCCCUCCUCUCAUUUUUUUUUUAGUUUUAAUUGUUUUAUUCUAUUUUCCUUUUUGGAUUCAAUUUUCUUUACUUCACAUUUCUGAUUUUAUUUUCAACUCUUGAUUUUAUCAUUUUCAUCAAUUUUUUUAUUUCCUAAUUUUCUAUUUUCAUUUUGAAAUAUUAUUUUUCAUUUUUAUUAAAAGAAUAAUUAGGAUAAUGGCAUUUUAAUCCAAUUUUAAUUUUCUGUUUUUUUUUAAUAUUUUUUUUUUCAUUUUUAUUAAUAGAAUAAUUAUGUUAAUUGCAUUUUAACUCACUUUUCAUUUUGUAAUUUAAUUUUUAUUUCAUUUUAAUAAUUGAUUUAAUUGCAUUGUAAUUUGAUUUUAAUCUUCUUUGUUGGCUGCAAUAUUAACCCCACAAUCUAACCACUAACUCUUCAUCUCUUUUUAUUUUGAUGGCUUGAUUGAUAGAUCUUCCACACUUCAAAUCAUUGAUAGAUAGAAGUUUAUAUUGAUUUAAUCUUCUUUGAUUCAAACAUGUUGAUAAAUGAUCAUUGGAUCAUUUUCGAUACUUUGAAUCAUUGAUAGAUUGUCCCUUAAUGCGCCAUAUUUUGAGUUUUUUGAUUUGUGGAUAGAUUAUCUCAAGUAAUCGGUCUUUUUUUGCAAAUUGACUUCUAACAUCUAACGUCUAACAUUUACAUUACGCAAUGCUAACUUCUAACAUUUAAAUUCUUGCAAUUUAUUUCUUUACUUUGUGUAUUAUAAUUCUCAUUCAUCAUUACCAAUCUUCACCAUUAUUGCUUUAUUUUGUUAUCUAAUCUAAAAUGAACAAAAACAUAAUAAAAUGAAAAAGACUAAAAAGACUUAAUUUUAGGACUAUUGGACCAUGGACUUGAUGUUUGACCUUAGCAUUAGACAUGGAGUAUUAUGGAUCACAUGGACCUUGUGUAUGACCAAAGCUUGAAAACUUAGAGGACUUGUUUGUACCCUUGCUUGGACCUUGGACCAAUUUGAUUGACCUAUGCAACUUGGAGCAUUAUGGACUUGCAAUGUUUCAUUGCAAGAGAGCAUUCAUGGACUACCUUAGGGAGACAUGCUUUGUAAUUCCAUUGUUCAAUUGUUAGAUUAUGACACAAUGCACACACAAAGCUUUCUCUUGGGCUACCUUACAACGAGACCAUUUAUUUAUCGCACAAAUCCCUUGUAUUUUUCAUGUAUUUGUCUCCUCAUGGUUUACUUUUUACUCACUUUCA